UCGUCGUUUCCUUUUCUCCCUAACGGAUCAAUCCUAAUAAACAUCUCUAACUCUUCUGCAAUCAAACCUCCAUUAACCUCAUUAAUGGCAUUGUUUCGAACAUGCAUAGAGUAAAUUCUUUGUGCUCUCUACGAUGAAUCCCAACAGCGAAUCCCAUGUUUCCGGCGAUCUUAUCUCCAAGAAAUCAAACGGAAAGGACGGUGUCUCCUCCAACGAGCCGAUCGAAUGUACCGGCCAAAGCGGUGUGUCUUCCGCCAAAGCUGUCUCCGGCGAUCCUCUGUCGAAGAAACCAAACGGCAAGGCCGUUGUCUCCUCCGCCGAGCCCAUCAAACAUAGCAGCGGAACCGGUGUCCCUAAAUCUCAGCCUAUAUCUUCAUCUUCGUCUCUUCCUUACCUUCCGUUUAACGUUUAUGCAACCUCUCAUCAACUCUACUAACGUGUCUGCUUCCGUGAAAACUCCAUCACCUAACAUAACUACAAAAGUACACGGAAGCUUGAUCAUGGAGUUUAUUGCAAAUGGUGGGUUAGUCCCGCUAUGAGCAAGGCCAUGGAUGGUUAAAUCCUCAACUCUGAGUAAUGGAGCUCUCUCAGUGCAUUGUUCAAGUAUUAAGAUUUUUCUGCAAAUAUACUUUUGCAGUUUUGCCCAAAACGUUUUAAGGAUUUUUCAGGUUAGAUUAUUUUGAGAGUUUCAAGAGGUGCACCUGGAAGAACAUUCUUAACCACUCACGGAGGUUGCUGGUUUGACGGAGAGCGAUGUUGUGGACAUCGUGAAGGUGUAAGAAUGAUACCUCUCUGAAAGUAGAAGUCACUUGCAAAACAAAAGGUGAGGAAGUUUUCGAGAAAGCAACUUUACGACAGUGACACUCUGAAACGCCUCAGUUGAAUAUUAGGCGCUAUUCUUCAUUGGGCUUACUUCCCUUUCCGCAAAGAGAAAAGCUUAUGGGUUCUUCUUGCGGAUUCAAACUAUAUCUGUUUCUUCCUGAAGGUUGCUUUCAUGGACAGAGUUUGAAGCUAUAAGCAUUGCGUCGAGUGCUAUUAGUUAGACAGUGAAUACUUUAGGAGAAAGCGUCGAGAUAAAUCAUAAUGCAGUUAGAGAAGUUCCGACUCUGUGAGAAGAUUAAAAGUGGGUCUAGAUUGGUUUUGCAGCCACUUUCCGAGGUAGGUGGAAUGAUACUGAGACAAGAACGUCAAUACUCUUGCUAACCAGUCUAAAUUCAAAAAAUACUUGGAGGUGUUGUAACCCUUAGCUUCACAAAUUCCCCAUGACUCUUCUUUGAUUCCGUCGUCAGUGUGACAGAAAAAUAUCUAUCAAGGUUUGGAGCAAAUGGAGAUACCACACCAGCUAUCAAAAGCUCCUCCGCAGCUAUCAAUAGCCUCCACUAUGUGAUGACGGUGGUGGUGAGGCAACCUUUGUCAUCUUUAAGCAGCACUGAAACUGGUUGGUGGACAAGCGCCAUUGGUCAUGAACGAGAUGAGAGAGAUACUUACAAUCAAUAAGUGUAACACUAGAUAUCUAUAAGUCUCAUGAGAGUGCUCCCAAUGAAGAAGCAGCCAUAACAACACCACAGUGUUUCCAAGACACUGUUGGAUGCUUAUGCAACUUCAAGUCAAGCUCACGGAUUUUAAUUUCAAGUUACUUACAAGAUAGUCAGGGUCUUCUGUAUUAUUAUGAUACCAUUUAAAAGGGUUCGAACUAACCUUACAAGUUACAAACCAAUGAUGCGGUAGACAGAUUUAAGUUUUUGUUUCUGAUUUUUACAAUAGCUAACCCCUUCCAGUUUAUGUUUUUAAUUCUGAUUUCGAACACCCAAGUACUAUUGUUAUCUAUUUCUUAGUUGCAUCACCAAGUCAGUAGUUUUUUUAAAAGAAUUUAUGAAUUGUCUUCCUUUAUUUUGAGCAAAUUAUGAAUUGUCUUCCAUUUUUCAUUUUUAAGAUCAAAUCUAUAAACAAAACAUUUAAUAAUUUAUCAUUUAUUUAAAUCGAUAAGUCAUUUUCAAUCCAACAGUACAUCAGUCUCUCAACAAAUAAUAAUUUACUGAAAUAAAUAAUAUAAUUUAAACUCCAAGAACUUCGAAAAAGAAUAAAUAAAUUUAAAUAAUAUCCACAUUUCAUCAGCCACAACCAAAACCUAACAUAUAAUAAAAAAAAUUAAUAAUAAUUUUGAAAAGUAAAAAUAAAAAUAGAAAAAAUUGUAAAAUUAAAAUUUAGUUAAAAUACAUAACAUAAAUUGAAAAAGUGAAUUUUUUUUUGGAAUAAGGUGAAUUUUUUUUGUAAAAUAAUAAUGAGAAAUUGGUUGAAAUACCAUAAAUUGGCUACCAUCUUUAAAAAAUAAAUCUUCAUUCAAAAAUAUCAUAACAUUUAGGUUUAGUAUUUAGUGAUUUGGCUAAAGUUUUGUAUUUAAAGGGGGUUUAGGUUUAUAAACUUUUAUAAAUGAUUACUAAAAUUUUAUAAAUGAUUACUAAACAUUUAUAAAUUGGACGAUUUUUUUUUCGUUCGGGCCACUAAACUCAUCAGACCAUCUAAAUUUAACAAGAAAUGGACAAAAUAACAUAACCAAAUAAUACAUAUUAAAAAUAAAUAUUUCAAAAACAAAAAAAUUAUUAAAAAAUAUAAAACAAAAUUAAGCAAAAUAAAAUAUUAUUUCAUGAUAUAAAAAAUAGAUUUAAAGUAAUUUAUUCAAAUAAAUAGGUAAAAUCAAAAAUAUUAUUUCUUAAAUUCUAAAAAUCUGCAAGCACAGAUCCAAUUCUAAUACGUGCAAAUAAGAACUACAAUAUAAAAUAAUUGAA